rnacentral:rRNA from 1 species
CCUACGGGUGGCAGCAGUGGGGAAUAUUGGACAAUGGGGGCAACCCUGAUCCAGCCAUGCCGCGUGUGUGAAGAAGGCCCUCGGGUUGUAAAGCACUUUCAGUGAGGAAGAACGCCUGGGGGUUAAGACCCAUCAGGAAAGACAUCACUCACAGAAGAAGCACCGGCUAACUCCGUGCCAGCAGCCGCGGUAAUACGGAGGGUGCGAGCGUUAAUCGGAAUUACUGGGCGUAAAGCGCGCGUAGGUGGCUUGAUAAGCCGGUUGUGAAAGCCCCGGGCUCAACCUGGGAACGGCAUCCGGAACUGUCAAGCUAGAGUGCAGGAGAGGAAGGUAGAAUUCCCGGUGUAGCGGUGAAAUGCGUAGAGAUCGGGAGGAAUACCAGUGGCGAAGGCGGCCUUCUGGACUGACACUGACACUGAGGUGCGAAAGCGUGGGUAGCAAACAGGAUUAGAUACCCUUGUAGUC